rnacentral:lncRNA from 1 species
AUUUCUGAGUUCUGUGUUCGAGUCGCAUCCAUGGUUCUGUUUCCUUUCUUUUCGCGAGUUGAGUCAUCGAGUUCUGUCCGAGUCUUUUUCGUUUUGCUGUGUCGAGUUAGUCGCUAGUUCCGAGUUUUGUGCGAGUCUGUUGUGCUAGUUUCAGUAGCUGGGUUUGUGUGUCUGGCUCCGUUUAGUCGAGUUUUGACCUUCGUUUUGCUUGAAGUUUCGCAGUUUGUGGUUUAAUUUUGCUGCUUUGUCAAGUUUGUAUUUGCAAUUUAAGAUGAGUCUUCGAGUCUGUUUCUGUCUUAAGUCGCAGAGUCGAGAAUCAAGUAGAGUGUCAGUUCGUUUUUGCUGAGUUCGUGCUUUUUUUUUUUCGAAUUCAGAGUCAUUUAGUCAGCUUCGAGUUUGUUGUUUCGUGUUUAUGAGUCACCUCCAGCUGCGUUUUCUGGGUUUUCGUUUGUUUUGAUGGCUUGAAUUUUACCGAGUUAGUGUUUUUGAGCUGAGUUGCUAGCAGGGUUUUAACUGAGUCCGCUUUGUUCCUUUGCUGAGUUAUUUUCCUUCCGAGUCAGUUUUCGAGUCGCCAAUUUGUUUUGCAUCUGAGUCAGCGAGUCAAGCUCUGCAGUAGCAUAGUUUUGUUGGUCCAGUUGUUAUUUGAGUUUUGCGGCUGUGUUUCCUUUUUUUUAGAGUAUGAAUUUGGUUUUGUUUAGUUUUCUUUUUUCUAAGUCAAAUCGCUGAUUAGUUUACUGUAAUGGGUUUGUUUGUUUACAAAAUUAUGUGAUCUUGAGUUGCCGAUUUGUGGGUUUAGGAUUUUGUUAGUCGUUGAGUUUGGAAGUUUGUUAUCGAAGAGUUUUUUUUCCCGAGUGUGUCACCUAUUUUUGUUUAAGUCCGUGUCAAUUUUCAAGAGGUUAUUUGUUCUUUUUUUUUUAAGUAUGUAAUUAGAUUAAGUUACUAAUUUGAAUGAAUUAGGUAAUUAUUAGUCUAUUCUCAGAAUUUCUAAUAUUAAAAAGUUCCCUCCUUUCAAAAUCUUUUGUUCUAAUUCGCCUAGAUUAAAUUUAAGGAUUGCAAAUAAAUUAUUAAUAAUCUCUGUGGACGAAUCUCAAAUAUUAAAACGGUGAUCGUGCGCUUGCGAUUUAAAUGUAUUAUUUAUAGCACAUCAAGUUUUUGGCGCCGCUGCCGGGGAUUAUAAUUAAUUUUUUGCACCUUUAUUUUUAAUCUUUCGGAUUAGUUUGUUUCUCACUUUUUGUUUUUAUUUCGAGGAGGAAUAUUCGGGAAUCAUGAAGUAAAGUGGACAAAUUUUGCUCGGAUUUGGAAGCUUGC